AGGGUUGUAGUUAAAUAUAACAUUUAAUUUGCAUUUAAAAAGUAUUGAUUUUUCAUUCUUCCUUG
rnacentral:tRNA from 1 species